GUAGUCAUAUGCUUGUCUCAAAGAUUAAGCCAUGCAUGUCUAAGUAUAAAUAAAUUUAUAUUGUGAAACUGCGAAUGGCUCAUUAAAUCAGUUAUGAUCUACGUGACAUAUUCAUUACUACUUGGAUAACCGUGGUAAUUCUAGAGCUAAUACAAGCAAAAAAACCCAAACUUACGAAUGGGUGCACUUAUUAGAUAAAGCCAACGCUCGGUAAAACCAGUUUCCCUUGGUGAUUCAUAAUAAUUAAGCGGAUCGCAUGGCCUUGUGCUAGCGACAGUCCACUCGAUUUUCUGCCCUAUCACGGUUGAGAUUGUAAGAUAGAGGCUUACAAUGCCUACAACGGGUAACGGGGAAU
rnacentral:rRNA from 1 species